rnacentral:misc_RNA from 1 species
ACGGACGUGGGCGACUACCAGAUCAAGCUGCGCAACAUGCUUCGCUUCUUGGAAGAGGGCGACAAGGUCAAGGUCACCAUCCGCUUCCGCGGCCGCGAGAUGUCCCACCAGGACCUGGGCCAGAACCUGGCCAGGAAGAUCCAGGAGGACGUCGGCGACAACGGCCAGGUGGAAUCCUUCCCUAGGCUGGAAGGGCGCCAGAUGGUCAUGAUGAUCGGGCCGAAGAAGAAGCAGUAACAAAAAAAGGCGGCCGCGAUGGCCGCCUUUUUCUUUUGCCUCGCCCUUCAAACUUCUCCCUCCGGGGAGA